UUUUCAAAAAUUGAAAAAUCGGCUAAAAAUGGACGAAAAUUAAGAGUAUAUAGCGUUACUUUUUUGCUCUAUUCUGCCUGCUGUUUAUGACAAAUGAAAAAAGUCGCUAAAAUCGACGAAAAGUAAAAACUAUAGGCUGGAGUGUUUUGACAUAUAUUUUGAAAUUAUUUUUGGUUCAUUUCACUUAUCUAUAUUAUUGUCCGUUCGUAUUU
rnacentral:lncRNA from 1 species